CCUACGGGUGGCAGCAGUGAGGAAUAUUGGUCAAUGGACGAGAGUCUGAACCAGCCAUGUAGCGUGAAGGAUGACUGCCCUAUGGGUUGUAAACUUCUUUUAUAAAGGAAUAAAACGAGGCACGUGUGCCUUUUUGCAUGUACUUUAUGAAUAAGGAUCGGCUAACUCCGUGCCAGCAGCCGCGGUAAUACGGAGGAUUCGAGCGUUAUCCGGAUUUAUUGGGUUUAAAGGGAGCGUAGAUGGGUUGUUAAGUCAGUGGUGAAAGUGUGCGGCUCAACCGUAAAAUUGCAAUUGAUACUGGCAGUCUUGAGUACAGUUGAGGUAAGCGGAAUUCGUGGUGUAGCGGUGAAAUGCUUAGAGAUCACGAAGAACCCCGAUUGCGAAGGCAGCUUACUAAACUGUGACUGACAUUGAUGCUCGAAAGUGUGGGUAGCAAACAGGAUUAGAUACCCUUGUAGUC
rnacentral:rRNA from 1 species